UUAAUAUUGCAAAGUCCGUGAAUUAAUUGUUGAGUGAAAUUUGUCGUUGGACUACAAGUUGCGAAAUAAAAUAUUUCGCGAAUUUAAAUAAUUCCUUUCCGUGAGGAAUAUAUUUAUUGAACUCAAUUUGCGUACUGGAUCGAAUAAUUGGACAAUAAUAUAAAGGUCCAGUCCGUGAUAAAUAAAUUAUGUACUACACAAUUUAAAAUAAAAUACAAUGGACCGUGAAUUAAAGAUUCUCCUUGAUAUUAAUUCAAUUACUAAAUAAAGAUCCUACAGAUAUCUUCAUCCUCCGUAAUGAGAUAUUCAUCCUCCGUAAUCUACAAAUAAAAUACCAAAUAAAUUCAAUUAAAUCAAAGAAAUAGAGAGAAGAAAAAUAAAAGAAAAAUUGAAAACCCUCCCCCUUAACCCACGUAAAAAAAAAAAGUUUCUCCCCUCACCCCAUAAAUCUCUCCCAUAUCUAUCAACUACCCUUUUCUAUAAUAUCCCAUUCACAAUUAGUUUCCUAGUUUCCUCAUUCUACCAGCAAUCUGAAAAAAAGGAGGAACCGUGAGAUCAAGACUCCAGUUUUUUUAUCUGUGGUUGUCUAUCCAACUAAGGUAAUUUCUUCACAAUUCCAUGAAUACGAACCUCCAUGAAUUAAUUCCAUGAUACCAAUUCUUCAAUUCACAGUUAAGGAGAAAUUGACAAUUAAAAUAGAAGCCGGGGGAUUUAUCGAGUUGAAGCUUCUUUUCCACAAUCUGCCAAUUGAAGGUAGACUUCGCAAGGGAAUCGAGAUACCAAAGGGAAGGAAGUGUAGAGAAUUAAUCAAUUGAGGUUGAGCGGCGACGAGCAGUUGGUGGUGUUGAGCAAUUUAAAAUUGAAGCAUGGUUGGUUAGUUGUGAACUACGAGUGUCGUUGUGUCUCCACACAUGACGUCACUCUUUUUCUUGAACGCUUCCGCUGAGACAUUGUCGUUACUCACCAUUCUUUUAGCGUUGAACCUAAUUAUUUGGAUAACGUCGACCUCUUGGCCCUUUGUUGUUAAAUAUUAAUUAUUGGUCAAACUCUUUAUUAAAACCCUA